UGAAAAUAACUUGUCCAUGUCUUUUUCCCACUUGGUUCAGUAAAUGGGGCUCACUGAACCAAGUAUUACACAGGUGGACCACCCAGAAGUGGAAGCGUGCAGCUAAUUUACCUCCCAGGCUGGGAGGGUGCAGUAGGUAAAUUGCCGACUGCUGGGUGGCCGCUGUUCGUACAAACGAACACGUAGCGGUGGCCAUCUUCAUUCGAACACGGUCAGCGGUGUGUGCAGCCAAAUCUAUGGAACUGAAAUCGGCUACACGUUUAGAUGAACACCACUGACCCGUACCUUCUCCUCCACUGAGUGUUCAGCCACAGAGACUAAGUCCCGUUCGGCUAUUUGAACUCACUGCUAUACUGAGCCCUUUUGCACGAACAGCCCCGUUCGUGCAUUUGAA